rnacentral:misc_RNA from 1 species
GAUGAAGAACGUAGCGAAAUGCGAUACUUGGUGUGAAUUGCAGAAUCCCGUGAACCAUCGAGUCUUUGAACGCAAGUUGCGCCCGAAGCCAUUAGGCCGAGGGCACGCCUGCCUGGGCGUCACACGUCGUUGCCCCCCCAUCUACUCCUUCGGGAUUGCGGGGGGCGGAUGAUGGCCUCUCGUGCGCCUCGUCGCGCGGUUGGCCUAAAUGCCAAGUCCUCGGCGACGCACGCCACGACAAUCGGUGGUUGCUAAACCUCGGUUGCCUGUCGUGUGCGGUCGUCGCGCAUCGAGGGCUCGAAAAAAUUGCCGGGCUUCGGCUCGACUUUCAACGCGACCCCAGGUCAGGCGGGGUUACCCGCUGAAUUUAAGCAUAUCAAUAGCGGAGGA